rnacentral:rRNA from 1 species
GACGAACGCUGGCGGCGUGCUUAACACAUGCAAGUCGAACGGAAAGGCCCUGCUUUUGUGGGGUGCUCGAGUGGCGAACGGGUGAGUAACACGUGAGUAACCUGCCCUUGACUUUGGGAUAACUUCAGGAAACUGGGGCUAAUACCGGAUAGGAGCUCCUGCUGCACGGUGGGGGUUGGAAAGUUUCGGCGGUUGGGGAUGGACUCGCGGCUUAUCAGCUUGUUGGUGGGGUAGUGGCUUACCAAGGCUUUGACGGGUAGCCGGCCUGAGAGGGUGACCGGCCACAUUGGGACUGAGAUACGGCCCAGACUCCUACGGGAGGCAGCAGUGGGGAAUAUUGCACAAUGGGCGGAAGCCUGAUGCAGCAACGCCGCGUGCGGGAUGACGGCCUUCGGGUUGUAAACCGCUUCCGCCUGUGACGAAGCGUGAGUGACGGUAAUGGGUAAAGAAGCACCGGCUAACUACGUG